UUGUUAGGGUUUAGUUGUUGUUGUUAUUUGUGAGCCAUUCUAGUAUCUCUUUGAUACUUGAAUUGGAUUGAGUUAAUUGAGUUAUAAUUGUGAAUCACUCAUGAGCUUUUAAGAAAGAGUGCAUUAUGUUUCAUUGGAAGUUUAUCUUUUGUUCUUUGUUUGUUUUUUAGUUAUUCUCAUUGUUGUGUGAUUGAAGAGAAGUGAGAGGGGUCUCAU
rnacentral:lncRNA from 1 species